AGAGUUUGAUCCUGGCUCAGAUUGAACGCUAGCGGCAUGCUUUACACAUGCAAGUCGAACGGUAGCAGGUCUUUUUCGGAAGAUGCUGACGAGUGGCGAACGGGUGAGUAAUGCGUAGGAAUCUACCUGAAAGAGAGGAAUAGUUAGUGGAAACAUUAAGUAAUACCUCAUAUAUCCGUUUAGGAAAAAGCAGGGGACUUUUUAUAAGCCUUGCGCUUUCAGAGGAGCUUACGUCGGAUUAACUAGUUGGUAGGGUAAAAGCCUACCAAGGUAACGAUCCGUAGCUGGUCUGAGAGGAUGAUCAGCCACACUGGGAUUGAGAUACGGCCCAGACUCCUACGGGAGGCAGCAGUGGGGAAUAUUGGACAAUGGGCGCAAGCCUGAUCCAGCAAUGCCGCGUGUGUGAAGAAGGCCUUAGGG
rnacentral:rRNA from 1 species